rnacentral:rRNA from 1 species
UACAGAGGGGGCAAGCGUUAUUCGGAAUUAUUGGGCGUAAAGGGCGCGUAGGCGGCCACCGCAAGUCGACUGUGAAAUCUCCGGGCUUAACUCGGAAAGGUCAGCCGAUACUGCGGGGCUAGAGUGCAGAAGGGGCAACUGGAAUUCUCGGUGUAGCGGUGAAAUGCGUAGAUAUCGAGAGGAACACCUGCGGCGAAGGCGGGUUGCUGGGCUGACACUGACGCUGAUUGUGCGAAAGCUAGGGGAGCGAACGGG